rnacentral:lncRNA from 1 species
UGGAGCUGAUUGCGAGGACAAUAGGCUUGAGCUCCUUCUAUCAGAAGUUAAAGGCAAAGACAUAACUGAGCUUAUUGCAUCUGGGCGGGAGAAAUUGGCCUCAGUGCCUUCUGGUGGUGGAGUUGCAGUUGCUGCUGCUCCAUCUGCCGGUGGUGCAGGCGCUGCCCCAGCUGCUGCUGAGGCCAAGAAAGAGGAGAAAGUGGAGGAGAAAGAAGAAUCUGAUGAUGUAAGAUUUACUUGAUGCCAUCUAUUUUUUAUGAACCAACUUUUUAAUUUGCAUACCACUUGAGGUCUAUUUUCAGCUCAAUGUUUAUGUGGUUUGACUUACUGAUUUCUCAGAUAGCCUAAUUGGAAAUUUUUAGCUGGUUUAAACCUAUUCAUGGGAGUAAUAAAGUGAUUGGCAUUUUUUUUUUUGUGCAAAGUCUCGUUCUUCAUGUGACGAGAUCCAGAGUAUGUAUGUUUGUUUGUUCACCCAAUAUGGAAAAUUCUUACCUAAUUGGCUUUUAUCUUCUUGUUGCAGGAUAUGGGUUUCAGUCUUUUCGACUAGAGAGCUCUUCAGCAUUUUUUUCACCUCUUUCUCCUCAAUUGGGAGCUUCUAACUGGACUUAAAAGUUUUGUUAUUUUGGAGUUCUGUAGUUUUUAGUUUAUAUAAUCCUUAGAUGAAACUUUUGACGGGUUAAGUUGUGGCUCCAUAUUGAUAUGCUGCUUUGUUAUGCCUGUUCAGAGAUUUAUAUAUCUGGCAACUAUCAUUUUCUAUUAUUUCAUCAUACAAAUGACUCCAUGGAUGUUUCUGUCAGAAGUUUAGAUCCAUUCCAUGUUCUGCUUGAAUGGAAACAUAUGCAAUUGACUUUCCGUC